rnacentral:rRNA from 1 species
AGUGAACGCUGGCGGUAGGCCUAACACAUGCAAGUCGAACGGCAGCACAGUAAGAGCUUGCUCUUACGGGUGGCGAGUGGCGGACGGGUGAGGAAUACAUCGGAAUCUACUUUUUCGUGGGGGAUAACGUAGGGAAACUUACGCUCAUACCGCAUACGACCUACGGGUGAAAGCAGGGGAUCUUCGGACCUUGCGCGAUUGAAUGAGCCGAUGUCGGAUUAGCUAGUUGGCGGGGUAAAGGCCCACCAAGGCGACGAUCCGUAGCUGGUCUGAGAGGAUGAUCGGCCACACUGGAACUGAGACACGGUCCAGACUCCUACGGGAGGCAGCAGUGGGGAAUAUUGGACAAUGGGCGCAAGCCUGAUCCAGCCAUACCGCGUGGGUGAAGAAGGCCUUCGGGUUGUAAAGCCCUUUUGUUGGGAAAGAAAAGCAGCAGGUUAAUACCCCGCUGUUCUGACGGUACCCAAAGAAUAAGCACCGGCUAACUUCGUG